GGGUUGUGAGGUUAAGCGACUAAGCGUACACGGUGGAUGCCCUGGCAGUCAGAGGCGAUGAAGGACGUGCUAAUCUGCGAUAAGCGUCGGUGAGGUGAUAUGAACCGUUAUAACCGGCGAUUUCCGAAUGGGGAAACCCAGUGUGUUUCGACACACUAUCAUUAACUGAAUCCAUAGGUUAAUGAGGCGAACCGGGGGAACUGAAACAUCUAAGUACCCCGAGGAAAAGAAAUCAACCGAGAUUCCCCCAGUAGCGGCGAGCGAACGGGGAGGAGCCCAGAGCCUGAAUCAGUGUGUGUGUUAGUGGAAGCGUCUGGAAAGGCGCGCGAUACAGGGUGACAGCCCCGUACACAAAAAUGCACAUACUGUGAGCUCGAUGAGUAGGGCGGGACACGUGGUAUCCUGUCUGAAUAUGGGGGGACCAUCCUCCAAGGCUAAAUACUCCUGACUGACCGAUAGUGAACCAGUACCGUGAGGGAAAGGCGAAAAGAACCCCGGCGAGGGGAGUGAAAAAGAACCUGAAACCGUGUACGUACAAGCAGUGGGAGCCUCUUAAUGGGGUGACUGCGUACCUUUUGUAUAAUGGGUCAGCGACUUAUAUUCUGUAGCAAGGUUAACCGAAUAGGGGAGCCGAAGGGAAACCGAGUCUUAACUGGGCGUUAAGUUGCAGGGUAUAGACCCGAAACCCGGUGAUCUAGCCAUGGGCAGGUUGAAGGUUGGGUAACACUAACUGGAGGACCGAACCGACUAAUGUUGAAAAAUUAGCGGAUGACUUGUGGCUGGGGGUGAAAGGCCAAUCAAACCGGGAGAUAGCUGGUUCUCCCCGAAAGCUAUUUAGGUAGCGCCUCGUGAAUUCAUCUCCGGGGUAGAGCACUGUUUCGGCAAGGGGUCAUCCCGACUUACCAACCCGAUGCAAACUGCGAAUACCGGAGAAUGUUAUCACGGGAGACACACGGCGGGUGCUAACGUCCGUCGUGAAGAGGGAAACAACCCAGACCGCCAGCUAAGGUCCCAAAGUCAUGGUUAAGUGGGAAACGAUGUGGGAAGGCCCAGACAGCCAGGAUGUUGGCUUAGAAGCAGCCAUCAUUUAAAGAAAGCGUAAUAGCUCACUGGUCGAGUCGGCCUGCGCGGAAGAUGUAACGGGGCUAAACCAUGCACCGAAGCUGCGGCAGCGACACUAUGUGUUGUUGGGUAGGGGAGCGUUCUGUAAGCCUGUGAAGGUGGCCUGUGAGGGUUGCUGGAGGUAUCAGAAGUGCGAAUGCUGACAUAAGUAACGAUAAAGCGGGUGAAAAGCCCGCUCGCCGGAAGACCAAGGGUUCCUGUCCAACGUUAAUCGGGGCAGGGUGAGUCGACCCUAAGGCGAGGCCGAAAGGCGUAGUCGAUGGGAAACAGGUUAAUAUUCCUGUACUUGGUGUUACUGCGAAGGGGGACGGAGAAGGCUAUGUUGGCCGGGCGACGGUUGUCCCGGUUUAAGCGUGUAGGCUGGUUUUCCAGGCAAAUCCGGAAAACCAAGGCUGAGGCGUGAUGACGAGGCACUACGGUGCUGAAGCAACAAAUGCCCUGCUUCCAGGAAAAGCCUCUAAGCAUCAGGUAACAUCAAAUCGUACCCCAAACCGACACAGGUGGUCAGGUAGAGAAUACCAAGGCGCUUGAGAGAACUCGGGUGAAGGAACUAGGCAAAAUGGUGCCGUAACUUCGGGAGAAGGCACGCUGAUAUGUAGGUGAAGCGACUUGCUCGUGGAGCUGAAAUCAGUCGAAGAUACCAGCUGGCUGCAACUGUUUAUUAAAAACACAGCACUGUGCAAACACGAAAGUGGACGUAUACGGUGUGACGCCUGCCCGGUGCCGGAAGGUUAAUUGAUGGGGUUAGCGGUAACGCGAAGCUCUUGAUCGAAGCCCCGGUAAACGGCGGCCGUAACUAUAACGGUCCUAAGGUAGCGAAAUUCCUUGUCGGGUAAGUUCCGACCUGCACGAAUGGCGUAAUGAUGGCCAGGCUGUCUCCACCCGAGACUCAGUGAAAUUGAACUCGCUGUGAAGAUGCAGUGUACCCGCGGCAAGACGGAAAGACCCCGUGAACCUUUACUAUAGCUUGACACUGAACAUUGAGCCUUGAUGUGUAGGAUAGGUGGGAGGCUUUGAAGUGUGGACGCCAGUCUGCAUGGAGCCGACCUUGAAAUACCACCCUUUAAUGUUUGAUGUUCUAACGUUGGCCCGUAAUCCGGGUUGCGGACAGUGUCUGGUGGGUAGUUUGACUGGGGCGGUCUCCUCCUAAAGAGUAACGGAGGAGCACGAAGGUUGGCUAAUCCUGGUCGGACAUCAGGAGGUUAGUGCAAUGGCAUAAGCCAGCUUGACUGCGAGCGUGACGGCGCGAGCAGGUGCGAAAGCAGGUCAUAGUGAUCCGGUGGUUCUGAAUGGAAGGGCCAUCGCUCAACGGAUAAAAGGUACUCCGGGGAUAACAGGCUGAUACCGCCCAAGAGUUCAUAUCGACGGCGGUGUUUGGCACCUCGAUGUCGGCUCAUCACAUCCUGGGGCUGAAGUAGGUCCCAAGGGUAUGGCUGUUCGCCAUUUAAAGUGGUACGCGAGCUGGGUUUAGAACGUCGUGAGACAGUUCGGUCCCUAUCUGCCGUGGGCGCUGGAGAACUGAGGGGGGCUGCUCCUAGUACGAGAGGACCGGAGUGGACGCAUCACUGGUGUUCGGGUUGUCAUGCCAAUGGCACUGCCCGGUAGCUAAAUGCGGAAGAGAUAAGUGCUGAAAGCAUCUAAGCACGAAACUUGCCCCGAGAUGAGUUCUCCCUGAGACUUAGAGUCUCCUGAAGGAACGUUGAAGACGACGACGUUGAUAGGCCGGGUGUGUAAGCGCAGCGAUGCGUUGAGCUAACCGGUACUAAUGAACCGUGAGGCUUAACCUUACAACGCCGAAG
rnacentral:rRNA from 1 species